ensembl:lncRNA
GGUGCAACACUACUCUGACACAUCCUGCGAAUGCUGGAGGGAUGGAGAGGCCUCUUGUAUGUGUGUGUGUGUCCAUACGCACUGUGCACCGGGCCAUAGGGGCAGGGCUGUGAUGGUUUAAACAUGGAGGUGAGGAGCAACUUCAAGGCAAAAGUAAGGUCUUGUAGUGCAAAACUGGAGUCACACCUGUUUCCUCCUAUUGGCUCAACACGAUGGGACCCUAAGGGCAAUGAAACGACUGAUAAAACUGUGUCAAUAACAGGUAGGUUUGCACAAGCAAGAGAGUCAAACGUGUGUGAGGUGAGGUGACUGGGACGACUGAAUGUGCUGUAGUUGUGUGCUCUGAGUGUGACGAGCUAACUGUGAAAAACAUAUUUUUGUUACAGUGAUAGAAAUAACAGAGAGAGACACUCACGCCAGAAUUGUUUCUUUCGUUUCCGUAGCUGGAGAGCGUCGCCUCCUUUGUCCUCCCUCUGUUUGUCAGAGCUCUGAGCCGGGCAGGGCACCGUGCUGGAUGCGUUGUCGAGGCCUUCUAUGUCACCCAUCACCUUCAGAAAAAGAAAAAAAAAAACUCACCCAAAGCAUGCUUAAAUCAGCCAGGUAGCAUAAACGAGAAAAGGUGACAAAAAAGAAAUGAACAGCACAACAAUGAUAAACCCGACUGUUUCAGGAGCCCCCGCGGCCUGUAAACGUAUCAAGCGUCACAAAGUGCAGGUUGAACUUGGAUGACAGUGACUGAGAUUGGCAGAAGAACUGCGAUUUUCCUCGAGGCCUGCGAAUAGUGUUGUCAUGCACAGUCUCUUCCUCUGUCCCCGUGCUUAGAGUGAAGUUGGAGGAGAAGCAGAAAUGGAGACUUUAUAUGACACACUACCUCUCGUCCCAGAGGGGAAACGGCUCUCACAACUCUGGGUUGGCCUACUUAUAUACAGUGAUAGGAAAUAUAACUUAAAUCUCACUGGUAUAAGCAAUUACAGAAUGAUGAACCACACAUUUGUCAAAAGAAAAGGCAUAUAAAAGAAGAGAAUAAUGUUUAUCAGGUUGUGCUAUACAUCAAGUGGUCAGGCUGAAAAUGCAGGCUGGCACAAAAGCACCCUAUACAUGAAACCAGUCUAUAUAUUCAAAGUUUAGUUUUGCAAGUGUUGACAAAAAAAUGUUUUCUUUUCUAUUAUUUAUUUCAUUUUAGCUCAUUUUUUUUUUUUUUUUUCUAAAAUUAGUAUAAACUUGCUUGACAAUUGCCUGUGGUGUACUUCAGGGAAGUCCUCCUAUUAAACAGAUAUGACUGCCAGGGAGGCAUUAAUCUCCUCAUGCAACAUAUAGUACAUAGCCAAGGACAUUCCCUCCCUAAUUCUUUUCCUCUGCCUCUCGUAGACACACGCGGCACAUGAAACGACAUCACACACACGCACGCACACAGAGAGCGCGCUCACUUCCUGUAAAAAUCAAAUUCAUAUUUCUGAGGGCUGCCGAUGACCUCAC